rnacentral:rRNA from 1 species
CAAUAGCGUAUAUUAACGUUGUUGCAGUUAAAAAGCUCGUAGUUGGAUUUCUGGAGGGAGCGUCGGCCCGUAUUUACGAGUGCGUGACGUCUCUGUCCAUCCUUGCGGGAAGGCGCGGCAUUGAUUUGUUGUGUCGGAUCGCAUCAUUUACUGUGAAAAAAUUAGAGUGUUCAAAGCAGGCUUUCGCUUGAAUACAUUAGCAUGGAAUAAUAAGAUAGGACUUUGGUGCUAUUUUGUUGGUUGAGCCUAAAGUAAUGAUUAAUAGGGAUAGUUGGGGGCACCUGUAUUGCGUUGUCAGAGGUGAAAUUCUUGGAUUUACGCAAGACAAACAGCUGCGAAAGCGUCUGCCAAGGAUGUUUNCAUUAA